AACUCCCCCGGCGCAUCCUCUCCCAAAGUUGGUUAUUUUGGAAAAAAAUUUGAAAAAAUAGUUAUUUUCGUAUUUUUUUGAAAAUCCUGGUUAUUUUAAAAAAAAAUCACGUGAUGUAGCAGUAACGAGGAAUAGGCUGGGAAAGAAAAAAAAAUGGAACCAUUUUUGUAUAUAAUUUAGCAGCCAAUCGCCAUUUUACAUGUGGCAAAAUGAAAUAAUAAUAAAAUAAAACUAAAAUAAUAAUAAUAGAAAAGAAAAAGAAGGGAAAGGAAAAGGAAAAG
rnacentral:lncRNA from 1 species